UUUCCUCAAUUUAAAUAUUUAUUUUUUCAAAUUGUUUUAAAGUUUAAAACAUCUGAUCAAAAUAACGGCGAUCUUAAUAAAUUAAAAAAAUUAAUUGCAUAAAGAAAUUUUAUUUUUAUAAAUUUCUUAUUUAUACUGUAAAAAACCAAAAUUAAAUACCUAUAAUAACUUUCCAAGACGACACUAAGAGUGAUACACUGACACAGAACUUUUUGGUUAUAUUGUAUAUAUUACAGUACCCCAAAAUCUGGGUCUGCAGAUCGAGCAUUCUACGCUAGCCUUCGGACUGACCAUUGGAGCAAACACUACAAAUAACAAAUGCAGAACCAGGAGGGUUUGGGCUCUAGGAUUUGUAAUUUAAUACUAAUCUAUUUAUAAAUGUAUGCAAAAUAAAGUAUAAUGUGAUAAAAACCUAAAAUUUUUUUAACAAAUUGCUUAAAAUUAAACUUGGAAGGUCCCCUAUCUAUAGUAAGUUGUGGCAAUGUAUAUAAAUGUGUAUAUUUCUAAGAAACAAAGAUCAAUAAAAAAAAUAUUUUAAAUACUAAAUAGUACUAAAUAGUUGUAAAUACUAAAUGGACUGAGCCCCUAUUCCAUCAACUAUUUCUUAAUAGUAAUCAGCGCACGAGGACAACGAGGUUUAUGACGGUAUUAUAAUAUAUAGCUAUACGCUUAUACCUAAAUAUAUUAUGAUAUUCACAACAAAUAAGCAAUACUCGACGUCAAUUAAUUGGGGAAAAAAAUUUAAAAAUAGCUGGAAAAUUAAAUUCAACUAUAAUGUAAUCAUGAUUCAUGACAUAGGUAAUCCAAGUUCCACGAAAAAACCAUUAAUUUUUUUGGUCGGGAAUAGGGUUAGGGUAUAAAACCGGGAUUGAAAAUAUAAGGUAACCGCUUUGAUGUUAACAUUUAGAUAUUUACCUUGAUUACC